ensembl:lncRNA
UUCUUUCUUUCUUUCUUUCUUUCUUUCUUUCUUUCUGUCUUUAUUUCUGUAAUUAAUUAAUUAAUUAAUUAAUUAAUUACAUUUUUAUUUAUUUCUUGUUUUUAUUGGAGUUUGGAGGAGAUUGUCAAUGGCUCGUAUGUGUGAAAGACGAGGUGAGUGUUUAUAUUUUCAUUUGUUUAUUAUUGGUAUGUUAUGGUAUGAUGUUCUACAUUCCUUGUGAAGCUCUGGUGACGGCGCUCAGGAACCGCUGACAAACCCAAACCAGCCACUGAGCCAAGAGCUGCCGGGAUACAUCGCACCUCUGCCUUCAGAGUCGGCCGCUUCUGCGUCCACAGAUCAGCCUCACAGGAAGAGGAAGUGGCAGAGCGGCAGCCAGGAGGAUGAGCCUCCGUCCCCUUCAUACAGAAGACCUGCCAAACGCUCCCGCAGAGAAGCGUAUGUGAAGGGGCCAUUGCUGGGGCGAGGCGGAUUCGGUUCUGUGUACGCAGGGACCCGCAGGUCUGACGGACUGCCAGUUGCCAUCAAGUACGUCUAUAAAAGAGGAACACAGAGACUGAGAGUUGAAGGUCAGGGUCGGC